rnacentral:miRNA from 1 species
GCAGACACAUUCCAGCCAAUCAGCAGCAGACCCUCCCUCCCCGACCCUCCCACCUCCUGGACAGCUCACUAAGAAUGCAGCUUCACAAUGAAUGUAAAAUGGAUGCUGUCCAGGAGGUGGGAGGGUCUGGGAGGGAGCGUCUGCUGCUGAUUGGCUGGAAUGUGUCUG